rnacentral:rRNA from 1 species
UACGUAGGGGGCUAGCGUUGUCCGGAAUCAUUGGGCGUAAAGAGCGUGUAGGCGGUCCGGUAAGUCCGCUGUGAAAGUCGGGGGCUCAACCCUCGAAUGCCGGUGGAUACUGUCGGGCUAGAGUGCGGAAGAGGCGAGUAGAAUUCCUGGUGUAGCGGUGAAAUGCGCAGAGAUCAGGAGGAACACCUAUUGCGAAGGCAGCUCGCUGGGACGUAACUGACGCUGAGACACGAAAGCGUGGGGAGCAAACAGG